AGAUUAGCUAAUACCGCAUACGACCUGAGGGUGAAAGUGGGGGACCGUUAGUCCUCAUGCUAUAGGAGCGGCGAUGUCUGAUUAGCUAGUUGGUGAGGUAAAGGCUCACCAAGGCGACGAUCAGUAGCUGGUCUGAGAGGACGAUCAGCCACACUGGGACUGAGACACGGCCCAGACUCCUACGGGAGGCAGCAGUGGGGAAUUUUGGACAAUGGGCGAAAGCUGAAUCCAGCAAUGCCGCGUGUGUGAAGAAGGCCUUCGGGUUGUAAAGCACUUUUGUUCGGAAAGAAAUGGCUCUGGUUAAUACCUGGGUCGAUGACGGUACCGGAAGAAUAAGGACCGGCUAACUACGUGCCAGCCGCCG
rnacentral:rRNA from 1 species